ensembl:lncRNA
CCCUACUGUUUAUUAACCCUGUUAAUAACCCUACUGUUUAUUAACCCUGUUAAUAACCCUACUGUUUAUUAACCCUGUUAAUAACCCUACUGUUCAUUAACCCUGUUAAUAACCCUACUGUUUUUUAACCCUGUUAAUAACCCUACUACAUAGUACUGUUUAUUAACCCUGUUCGUAACCCUACUGUUUAUUAACCCUGUUAGUAACCCUACUUAACCCUACUGUUUAUUAACCCUGUUAGUAACCCUACUGUUUAUUAACCCUGUUAGUAACCCUACUGUUUAUUAACCCUGUUAGUAACCCUACUACAUAGUACUGUUUAUUAACCCUGUUAGUAACCCUAAUACAUAGUACUUACUUUAUUAAGCCUUCACCUGUAAAACACAGUUUCAAACAACAUAAAAUAGCUGGCUUUACAAUGCACAGUCAGGUGUGUGUGAGAGUGUGUGUGUGUCAGAGAAAGAAAGGGAGUGUGUGUGAGUGUGUGUGUGUGUGAGAGAGGGAAAGGAAGUGUGUUUCAGUCUUUUAGGAAUGUCAUUCCUCCUUCCUCUUUUCUCCUUCCAUGGAAAGUCUCGUGAACAAAAGCCAUCUUCACUCACCAAUAGAAAAAGUCAGGGAAAAAUUCUGUCACCAAUAGAAAAUCAGCAAGAAAGGCUUCGCAUUGGCUUUUCUUUAACCAAUCAUCUCCCACUCUGCACGUUUCUUGAUUCGGAGCCACACCUUACAAUCGUGUGAUUCGCUAAGAUCAUAUAAUGCCAAACAUUUAGUUGACUCCCACAUACAGUAGAUUAGACUUGAAUAUGACGCAUGAUGAAGAGGUCAGUCUCUCAGAGGGAAGGCUCUACUCAGGACCACCUCCAAUCUGUCUCCUCCCAGAAGACACAACUCCAGAACACACACCAGCCUCUGAUUGGCCAGCUGGGAGGCCGUUGCGAUCAGAUCCGCUAGGAUAGGACGAAAGAGGACAGUAAUCAUUAUUUUGGUGUGUGUUAUCAGGUGGAGGUGGAGGUGUUUUUUACCAGGUGGAGGUGUGUGUUACCAG